UGGCUGGACAGCACUGCCGUUCAGGCACCUCUGGCUCCUUCCCUUAAGGAUGCCAAGGAGUAAAUUGGGAACAGUGCCGUGGUUGCUAAAUAUAACUUGCCCAACUCAAUGGGAAGUUAUGGCAUGAGUAAGAUCCUCUCCGACAAAAUCAACAGCCCUAAUUGGGUAGGAUACGCUUUGCCAUCUCAGAGGGAGACUUUCCCCAUGGGAGGAAAACAGCGAAAGAGCUGAUCAGAGCAAAGGUCCCCCGCCCUGUUUCCGACUCUGGGAAACAUAUCUACAUGUAAGGAAACAUUACCGGGGCCGACUGCCCAGAGCCCGUGGCGUUGCUGAAAGGCCCUGGACGUGGGCAGCAGGCAGCUACAGCCAAGACGCGGGGCCAGGGCGCAGGCUCAGGGAGGCUUCAGGGGCCAGAAGUAGGAAACACGUCGUUGAACAGUCUGAGGUCAAGACCCAAGGAAGACCACAAGGUCUGGGCAAAAACACGGGAGCAGGCCAAAGGUCAGGAACCAGUGAACAGUCCCGUUGGGGCACAAGAUAAAUCGGGAAGAAUCUUUAUGGUCGCUGUGAUUUCGGAUUUUGCAUGUGAGGCCUGGGGUGAGUAGAUACAGGAGAAUACAUAAGUGAAAACACACCUGUGAUAUUCUGCAAAUCCUGGAACAAGGCUACAAAGAAUAGCAGGACAUCAGUCAUCUCUGAAGAAAUAAUCCCUGCUCUAGAAGGAACAAAGACCACGCGGGGAGCCACGCGGAGUCGAGAAAAUGGGAUCAGAUUUUCACUUCGAAUGGCAUUUAUUUACGACGCAGCCUGGAUUGAAGCUCAGCUGCCGAAGAAGCCGGUGCAGAGACGAACUGCCUGAUCCAAGGGCGCCACUUUUGCAACCAGCCACAGGAUCUGGGUACUGUUACCACCGGAGCGGGUAUCCUCCAGCCCACCCCCCCUGGGAUUUUGGCCUACAGCUCCCAUCAGCCCUGGCCAGAGGCAGGCUGAUGGGAGCUGCAGGCCAGCAUCUCUGAAUGGCUCCGCUUGUCCGCCCCGCUUCAGAGGCAGCUUGACACCCAAACAAAACCAUUAAGUGGACAUAUCUGCCCCCAGGCUGUGACCGUCUCGCUGCUUCUUUUAUACCCCCAGAGCGCCAUGCGACGGCCCCCCAACCUACUGUGUGGGGGG